AGCUGGAAGGUAUUGAGGCGUGCUGGGGAUGUAGCAAACAACGGAAACAACUAUUUUUAAGAUUCUUGCUUCCCUCUCUGAUGUUUUUUUAAACUUUUUUUUCCUACUUGGAGUACAUUACACUUUGGAUUUUACGGCGGCUUCUGCGCUUUACGCUCCGAGUCUUGUAUCCUUGGUAACGCGAACAACUGUCCUGCGAAGUUUGGAUCAAGUGUUUUUCCUUCAGCCGGAUAAAUAAACUGGAUAUUAAGGCGCUUUCUUAGGGGAGGGGACCCCCGUGUGCAGGUGGGCGUCAGCUGGACUAUUUCGAUUAGUUUUUAUUCAUUAAAAAGUGUUUUCUAAACCUAAACUUUGUGUUUAGGGAAACGGGACAACGCGGGACAAUAGUGGUGUGGGAGAGAGCUCCUGCAGGAGGAGGAGGGGGGGGGGGCUUUUGUUCUGUCCAGCCUGCUGUGGGGAUCGAUUAACCGGUGGAUCGAUGAUUUGUUGGUGAUCUGUAAGCGGGAUCGGAACAACCAUGGAUGUGACUCUGUCCGAGUUGUUGGCCACUUUCAUGGAGUCUCCGCUGGUGGUGUGGGUCGGGACGUUGGGUCCUCUGGGCUCGUGUGACAAUGCCGGCUCAGAGGAGCGGGUCAACAUGUUCAUGGAGCUGGUGGACGGCGUCUUCCUGCACAAGAUCAUGACACACAUUGACCCCAGCCCAACCAAUCAGAGGCUGAACAAGAAUGUGAACAAUGACGUGUCACUCCGCCUCCACAACCUCACCGUUCUCACCAGACAAAUCAGGAUGUACUACCAGGUACACACACACACACACACACA